GACGAACGCUGGCGGCGUGCCUAAUACAUGCAAGUAGAACGCACAGUUUAUACCGUAGCUUGCUACACCAUAGACUGUGAGUUGCGAACGGGUGAGUAACGCGUAGGUAACUUGCCUGGUAGCGGGGGAUAACUAUUGGAAACGAUAGCUAAUACCGCAUAAUAUUAAUUAUUGCAUGAUAAUUAAUUGAAAGGUGCAAUUGCACCACUACCAGAUGGACCUGCGUUGUAUUAGCUAGUAGGUGAGGUAACGGCUCACCUAGGCGACGAUACAUAGCCGACCUGAGAGGGUGAUCGGCCACACUGGGACUGAGACACGGCCCAGACUCCUACGGGAGGCAGCAGUAGGGAAUCUUCGGCAAUGGACGAAAGUCUGACCGAGCAACGCCGCGUGAGUGAAGAAGGUUUUCGGAUCGUAAAGCUCUGUUGUAAGAGAAGAACGGGUGUGAGAGUGGAAAGUUCACACUGUGACGGUAUCUUACCAGAAAGGGACGGCUAACUACGUG
rnacentral:rRNA from 1 species